rnacentral:tRNA from 1 species
ACUAUACUAGGAUGAUGCACAAGAAAAGGUC